AUUUUCUGUUCCUUGUCAAGAACUGAAAAAGAGUCUUAUGGCCCUGGAUCCUGAAAAUGGUCUCAGGAACUCAGGAAAAUUCUUGUGCCUCAUGUUCAGAGUCAUGACUCCUAGUAGCUGGGGCCUGGGCUUCACUGCAUGAACCGAGCAUUGCCAGCUCCCAGGUGCCAGGUUCUCGGGCCAAGGCCACGUGUGUCCACAGUCAUCCGCAUGGGGCCUGGCUCACUGCAGGAUCUACGAAGUGAGCGCUUGGUGAGCUCUGUCAGGCUGCUUCCCUCAUCCAUCUGCCUUGUUGGCUCUUAAACUGCAAACAGGAAACAAAACUGAAGAAAAGAGGGAAAUGGUGCUUUCAAGAAAAGGAAAAGCACCUUCCUGUAGGCAGUGGGGCUCUGAGAAGGGGAGCGAUGACUAAGACGUUUGUGAGAUGCUGUUACCUGGUGAUGAGGAGCUACAAAAGCCAGAUGCAGUACAGGCUGGGCCAUUAGUGCCUGUGAGGAGCUGAUGCCGAAGCCUCUUGUCGGUUGAGGGUGUAGUGUGAGCUGUCAGCUUCAAGCAGGAUGCCAACGAAGCCUGCAGCACCCCGAGGACAAAUAAUUGAAUAAAACACAUACUUGAUGAGAAUGUUCAGCUUACAGACGUCAGCAAGCUGAAGCCACUGUUGCUAAGAGCAGAGAAAUCACUGCUUGCAACCUCGGACUCUGCAAACCUCAUGCUCUCCUUCCUCUCCUGUGGGCGAGAAAGGAUCUAGGAUAAAUCCGGCUUCUUGGCAGCAAGUCCCAGGAAUAUCACUUUGUGUUUUGAAACUGCUAGAGAAUCAUUAGGAACCAGUCCACUGCUUUGAGUAGGCGUCAUGCUGAUCUCUGCACAUGCAUUAUCUCGUUUAAUUUUUACACCCACCUACAAGGCGCAGGUGGUGCCAUCUGUGAUCACAGUCCUAGGAGAGGAGUCUGCUCCUGACCUUCCACGGAGCAAAUCAAGACAUGGCUUGAGUCUGCACUGCUUCUGGCUUGUUUUCACUGGAACAGCAAUUUCUAGAGGUUCUAGAGCCAAUGAGAGCCAAGGCCGACCUGUUCAUUUCCACACACCUGCUUCAUGACCUGGGAAUAACCAGGAUUCAGCUCUGUGCUGUAAGGGGUACACACAAUCUUACAAAUAACGACGAUAAUGAUGGCAGCAAUAAUAAUGCGAAUGGCAGCUGACAUUCUCUGAGAGCUUCCUCUGAGCCCUUUGUAUGCAUGACACUCACAUGGACCCUGCGAUAGGUGCCAUGAUUUUUACCUCUCAUGGGUUGGGGAAACCAAGGCACAAAAUGGUUAGGUGACUUGCCUGACGUCACACGUCUAGGAAGUGGUGUUGCUGCCAUGCAGACCCAGGUGAUCCUGGUUUCGUGUUGGGACAUUGCUGCUCCUGUUAUUUGCAGGUAGGGUGACUUUUUCUCUCUCUCUGCCGCUUCCCUCACUCGUGCUUGGUGGCUCAGAUCUUUGUGCCUCUCUCUCCUGCCUCCCAUCCUCUCUCUCUGCAUCUCUCCUCUCUCCCCUCUUUUUCCUUCGUUCUCCUCCACUCUUAGCAUUUGUUUCACUCUCUUUCUUCCAGUCCCCAGAUGGCCUCUGCUUCUAGAAGCUAGGGUUGCUGACUCCAGGUAACCAGCUGUUGCUGCUGGAGCUUCCCAUCCCUUGGCACGUGGGCGCUCGUCCCCAGGAGUACGGCUGCCCCUGAGCCUGCAGCCUGCGGCAGAGUGCAAGUUGCUACCUUGCCACCAAUUACGCCUAUGUAUCAUAAUUGUACAUUUUUUCUUUGAAAGCCAAAUGAUGAAGCUAAUAGGGUUCAUGCUGAGAACAGAUGUUCUUAUUUCUGCCCAGAUGCUGUACAUGGCAAGGAGUCUCUGAUUCUUUUGUACUUUCAUUUGAAGUGUUUCUGGUUGAAGGCUUCUUGGGAAAGGCUGAAAAAAAUCACGCUGUCCUUCCAGCAAGGAACCAGGCCCAGGUCUUGAGGGGGUGUGAAGUAGCCAUCCUUGGCAUUUUCCAACCCAUCUGCUUCCUGAGGACAUAAUCCUGUUUCUAUUUGAAAACUGCCUUUGCUCGCGUUUUUUAAUUAAGCAUUCAGAUUUUCGCUUUUCUGGUUGUUUCAAU
ensembl:lncRNA